ensembl:lncRNA
CCGGGUCACAUGGGGCUCCAGGUGGGAGGUCAGAGGUCAGGGCCCGUCCCAUGGCCGGGUCACAUGGGGCUCCAGGUGGGAGGUCAGAGCCCGUCCUCUGGCCGGGUCACAUGGGGCUCCAGGUGGGAGGUCAGAGGUCAGAGCCCGUCCUCUGGCCGGGUCACAUGGGGCUCCAGGUGGGAGGUCAGAGGUCAGAGCCCUUCGUCUGGGCGGGUCACAUGGGGCUCCAGGUGGGAGGUCAGAGGUCAGAGCCGAUCCUCUGGCCGGGUCACAUGGGGCUCCAGGUGGGAGGUCAGAGGUCAGAACAUGUCCUUCCUUUAUCUGUGGAUCAGCUCUGAGACGUCCUCCUUACA